rnacentral:rRNA from 1 species
UACGUAGGCAGCAAGCGUUGUUCGGAGUUACUGGGCGUAAAGGGUGUGUAGGCGGUCUUUUAAGUUUGGUGUGAAAUCUCCCGGCUCAACCGGGAGGGUGCGCCGAAUACUGAGGGACUCGAGUGACGGGAGAGGAAAGUGGAAUUCCUGGUGUAGCGGUGAAAUGCGCAGAUAUCAGGAAGAACACCCGUGGCGAAAGCGGCUCUCUGGAACGGUACUGACGCUGAGACGCGAAAGCGUGGGGAGCGAACAGG